rnacentral:rRNA from 1 species
CGCCCGGACACAUUCCGAACCCGGAAGCUAAGACUCGCAGCGCCGAUGGUACUGCAGGGGCGACCCUGUGGGAGAGUAGGACACCGCCGGAC